UGUGAAGAUAAAUAAGGAAAAUAAAUUUUAUUUUAAAAAUUUCAACGAUAAAAAUAUGACAAUAAGGCGGCAAGUAAAGGGGAGAACCUAUCGCGGGAAUAAAAGACAUUUCGUUUACGCUAACACGAGCUUCAAUAAAAACUCAAUUUAUAAGACAACCUUCGACCUCGCUAAAUGGCUCGCAGCUAUCUUUGCCAAGUUUCAACGUCGAAUUCCAAUGUGAUCGUUAAUAUAGACGGCAAAGUUUACAAUAGUUUUGACUAAAAUGCUAUGAAAAUUGAGCUGAAAAUUUGGAAAAAGAAUGUUCUGUCUAAAUAGAUUAUCAAUCAAAAGAUUAAAGUUAUUCUGAUAAUAAUUCUCCACUUAUGACUUUAAGAUCAAAAAACAAUCACCUUAUUUACCACAAAUUACAUAUAUAUACACAUAAUAUAUUCUUAUUCAAUUUAUUAUAAAGAUUAUUGUUCAAAAAGAAAAGCAAUGAAGGCAACCUGUUACUCUGAUUUAAGUUUGAUCA